AAGGCUCUGCUAGAAACAAGGGAAAAGGAAAGGUUGCUGAAUGAUGACAAUGUUAUCUGUGUGAUAGUUUAAUAUUAUUAAGACAAUGUUAUAUAUUUAUGAUCAUGUGUUGUAAGGAAUGAUUUAAGGUUACGUACUUGGGAGUUAAACUUUGAUAUUAUGUAAGUUAAGUUUAAAUAUUUAUAUUAUUGGCAUUAUUAUUAGUAUUAUUCCGGUU
rnacentral:lncRNA from 1 species